rnacentral:rRNA from 1 species
CCAAUAGCGUAUAUUAAAGUUGUUGCAGUUAAAAAGCUCGUAGUUGAAUUUCGGGGUUAGUAGGCUGGUCAUGCCUCUGGUAUGUACUGGUCUCACUGAUUCCUCCUUCCUGAUGAACCGUAAUGCCAUUAAUUUGGUGUUGCGGGGACUUUGGACUGUUACUUUGAAAAAAUUAGAGUGUUUAAAGCAAGCUAACGCUUGAAUACAUUAGCAUGGAAUAAUGAAAUAGGACGUUCGAUCCUAUUUUGUUGGUUUCUAGGAUUGACGUAAUGAUUAAUAGUGAUAGUUGACGGCAUUAGUAUUAAAUUGUCAGAGGUGAAAUUCUUUGAUUUAUUGAAGACUAACUACUGCGAAAGCAUUUGCCAAGGAUGUUUUCAUUAAUCAAGAACGAAAGUUAGGGGAUCGAAGACGAUCAGAUACCGUCGUAGUCUUAACCAUAAACUAUGCCGACUAGGGAUCGGAUGAUGUUAAUUUUUUAAUGACUCAUUCGGCGCCUUACG